GGGAGGGAGAGAGAUGAGGAGGCGCUCGUCCUGCAGCUGCCGAGCGGGCAGUUUCCAGCUCCAGCCCUUCCCUGGGGUGGAAGGUACGGCUGGCUCCUGAGUCACAGCCCGGCGCUCUCACAUGCCCCGUAGGAGGGUCCCACGCUUUGCUCUGGCUGCUCUCCGUGCUCGCGCACCGCCGGCGUUCCAGUCAAUCAUUGCUGCCAAACCUAAACAGAGCCCCGUGCAGGGGGUGCCAAAAAUGUCUGCUGAAAAGUCACCAGACCGAAGGUCCACGGGGGAUGUGAAACAGGAAAAUUUGCAUCACUGGAGUGGAUCAAUUUUUCUACAUUUUUCACAGUGCCCAAAAAACUGAAUCCACAUCGUAUGGAGCAGCAGAGAGGAAUUGCUUCCUGUGGUUUUGAUACCAAUUAUAAGACCCUGAUUUGCAGACAAGAUGAUCAGAGAGAAAACAGAGGAUGCAGAGGAUGUGCCCAUUACUGGAUUCCUCCCAGGGACAUGUGACUAGGUGGUGCCUCAUGAUCCAGCGCCAGGAGUGUCUGCUGCAGCCAGUGACCCAGCAGAGGUGACACGGAAUGUCAGCCUUUGCAGGGUGUGAUGCUGGCAUGAUCUACCCUCCCAGAGCAGUGGUUUAAGAGAAGGAGGAAGAGAUGACCUGAUGUUUUCCCUCUACAAUCCCAGGGCAUAGAAAUCUCACAAAUAAA